UUUUUUUUUUUUUUUAAGGCUAAGAGUUUCUUGGCUCACUAAGGCCAUCUUGAUGUGUGGUGCAAGACAAGAAGGUGCUAUGCUUCCUCUAAAGAUCUUAACGGCAAUGGCUGGGCCCUGGAACCACAUUCUAAAUUAUCCAUUGUCCUUUGUAGGCAUCUGCUGUGCCCCAUCGUGUCAGAUAACCACAGCUAACAUUUUGUGGGCAAACAUGGUCCCAUUCAUUCCAUCAAGCAGUGAAUAAUUCAUAUAGCAAGUUUAACCCUGGGCAAAAUACACUGACAUCAGGAGGCAUUAAACUGGAGUCUUUCAAGGAACAAAAUGGUUAUUCAUGCUUUCAAUGUGAACCCUUAAAUCUUGCCAGUUAAGUUAAAGAAUGAAUUAACUCAAUUCAUCAGACAUAUCACACGAGUCCAUAGUAACACAAUUGCACGAGCAAGUUUCUUAUUUGGAGUAUUUCUACCUGAGGACGGAAAUGCCAGUUACUGUGUCAAGCAAGUCUAUACCGGUUGGGGGUGGGGGUGGUGCUGGGGAAACACUACCUCUUUUCAGAGCCCUUAAAAGUAAAUGAUUUCCAUUUAUCAUUUUUGUUUCAUCUUAUUCCAAAAUCCCCCUGUCUUUAUUAUUUUGUCACCCAUCUGUAGCCAAAAGAAAGGUUUAAGGGUUGCUGGCUUUUCUCUACAGCAACUAACUUGUGCCUGGAGAUGAUGGACUUGGAUAUAUCCGACAUUUGUUGGUUAUUGCUGGAUAUGUGUCCACUAUUUGCUUUUUAAAAGGACAUGAAUGCUGGCUACAUGUGCCUUUUGGAAUUAAUUUUCCAGAGCCAAAGACACAAUAUACUUGACUACUCCUGAAAUGGUGCUUCCCUUUGGCCUCCAGUCUCAGCUCUGGCUCCAGAUAAGAAUGGUCUCCCAUAGACACCUGACUUAGCCAAAAUUCUGUCCAAAUGGGUCUCGGAGGAGAGGAAAAAAUUCUCCAAAAGGUGGAGCAAGAAAAGGGAGGUUUCCAAACUAUAUGCACACAUAUUUUCCAAUCACCUUCCUCCUAGCACCUGACCCAUCCUUUGUCUUCAAGUAGGAAGGGAGAGCCUUGGCUCCAUUUCCUCAGCACCUGCAGAGACCCUUUAUUGUGAGACCAUAUCAUCAUGUUUAAGGUUUCCAUCAGACUGAAGAAAUCCGAGGAAAAGCGUAAAGAGGAUGACAACCAAAUGCACAUAAGAGGGAAAUAAUCAAUAAAACAACAGGCUGAAAUGUCAAAAUGGCCAUUAAAAUUGAGGUACUUUACAGCAUCAUGGUAUUCCUGUUGCAGAACUCCUUCCCCCAUGCCCCAAGUUAUAGGUGUCUUAGGUAAAGGGCAAAUCCCUGUCAGUUGACGUUAGACUUUCAGCAUUCAACAUAGGAGAGUAUUUGAGGAUAUAAGAGAUGCAAAGGUAGGGAGAGGGGAGACCAACAUGCUGGAAGAUCAUGAUGGGAUCUUUCUCUCUAGGGAAAAGACAAAAGAAUAAAAUCCUAGGUGAAGUAUGUAUUUAAGGCUUGUAACAGACCUACCUUUUUAGGCACCUCUCCCAUACUUUUCCCAUAUAAACCUUCUCUAGCCAACUGGGUCUCUCAACAUGCCUUGGAAUUGCCAGAUACAAUUCAAAAGUAUUUGCAAUCUAAGGAGGUACAUAUCCACAGUGAAAAUGAAUAAGGAAAUGAAUAACUAACAUUUUUUUUUCCCAGAAAGUGCUAAUUUUCACCAAGAAUCAAAUAAGUUUCAUCAUUGUAACUCUCUAUGGUUUUCAGUAAAGACAGAAUCAACACAGGGGCAUUUGUUCUUGUGCAGGUUAAUAUAAGGCUAAAGUGUGUUUCUCAACACUCUUCAAACAGUCCCACUCUGUGUCUUCUACCCCUCUAUCCAGUAGUAAAACAAGAGGAAAGGGGAAAUAUGAUUAAUCCAUUGAUCUCAUUUUAGGUGGAUAAACGAUUUCAAUAUAGACUUUACCUUGCCCACUAUAAGAAGGUAGCAGAGAUCAGGGGGGAAAGAAAAGAAUAGCAUAAAUAUCUUAUGGGGAAAAUUGGUGAAAUCUGAUUAUUGACUGAGACUUACCUAAUAGUCUUGUAUCACUGUAAGUACCUGAUCUUGAUAAACAUACUGUGCAUAUAUAAGAGAAAUGUCUUAAUUCUCAGAAAGUUAACCCUGGAGUAUUUAAGGGUAAAGCGGCAUGAUGUCUUCAACUUACUCUCAAAGGGAUCAGAAAAAAGAACACGAGAGAGAAAACAAUAAAACAAAUGGGGAAAAUGUAAACAAUGAAUGACUCUGGGAAAAGAAGGAUACAGAAAUUGUUCAUGUUUCAUUUUCACAACUUAUUGUAAGUUUGAAAUUAGAUCAAGUAAAAAGUUUGAGAUUAAAACGUUCACAGGGUUAAGUUUCAGGAUCUCGUGGGAAAAAAUGACGGCCUAUAAUGGUGAGAAACAACUUUGGAGAUCUGUCAGACAAGUCCCUUCAAUUCAGGGACAGGAAGAUUGAGGCUGACUGGGGCAAGAACCCGCACGAGCAUCUAUCAAAGACCAAGUACAAGCGCGUAGCACCAAGCCCACGGUCUCCCAGUCGAAUAUCUUUCGCCCAGGCUUCCCCUCUGUCCCCACAGAAUUCUUCUUGACUAAUUUAUGUCUCCUCUGAUUACUUUCUCCGACUUUCUCAACUUCACUCAAAUCAUUUUUAAACACUUCUCCCAAAGUGUAUUUCAUGCACAGCACACUAAUUCUGCAGGAUUUUAAUAGAUGUUAUAUAAAGAAGUCUGUGCCCAAAUAAGCUUGGGAAAUACGCAGUCAAAUAAGGUAAAACAGACAUCUCAAGGCCUUUCAAAUGAUAAUGUGCACAUUGUGGGGUAGCCGGGGGUACAGCAUAAAGCAUUUUCCAAACGUAUUUGGACAGGGAAGACUCUUCCUCCCACCCCACCCCACCCCAGUCCUGGGGCUACACACCCCAACACAUUUUAGAACAGCUAGUGGAGAGCAGCACAUGAAUCAUGAGUAAAUGCUGCACGACAGAUGCCACGUGUCAUUUCUCCCAUUCAGCAUGACGAAGCUCCACGACUCCAGGACCGUGGGGACUUCUUACACAGCUGCUAAAGGAGAGAUGGAACCCAGGGCUGAGCCCUAAUUCUGGCUCUGAAUUGACAAACGACAACUCUGGACAAAUCAGCAAAUCCCUUUGAGCUUGUUUCUUCAUCUGUAGAGGAGAGAUAACAUCUAUAUCGCAGAGUGCUCUGUGCGGGCUAGCCGAUUUUAUCUGUGAAAGUUCUUUGUGAUCUACAGACUGUUCCUUCAACAGUAAGGUGGCAGGCGGCUGUUGCAGGAAAGGUGAGGGUGGUCUCUGAAAAAGAAGCUGAAAUAAAAUACUGCUGCACAUGGUGGAAGAGUACAGGACGUGGUUUGCAUCGACGGUCCUCUUGCAGAAAAAGUAGUCUGUAUGCAGUUUCAGACUUGUUAAGGACUACGUGCGUAAGUCGGUUUGAAAAACAAAGAAAAGGACCGAGCAGAUGCUGGGAAGUGCUUAAGAUACAAGUAGGGAAAUGCACGCUUUGGAUUUUGGUUUGUCAUUCUUGGGCAAGGGACACUGCUGUGACACCUCCAUCAUCAUUUUGCAUGGUAUUUUAACUAAAAGAUCUCAGCUCCCUAAAAGGCAGCUCUUUCUCUCUGGCAGAAGGAGUUUCCCUUGCAUUCAGCCGGGUUGGAGGGAGCCACGGUGACAGCCCACCACCCGCACAUGGUCUCAGCGGGGACAGUCCUUCAGCCUCCGAUCACCUCACAUCCCCUGGAGCCACCGUGUCCAGUUCCUGGACCCCACCACAGCCAAGACAUUUUGACCAGUGCAUCUCCCAGUACCUAAGCCAGUUGCACGGUGGUUUUUGAUAUCCCAUGGAUGCAGAACAUUUACAACCUUGAGAUUCUCUUAAAUAAGUGAUUUGAUUUUAUUCCUCUUCACAAUAGUUCUUUGGGGCGGGCUUGACUGCUGCGGUCAUCCCCAUUGUAGAGCUGAGGACGCUGAGGCCCAGGGGGGUGAGUAUGUUCCCAAACUGAGGUCCCAGUGCUGAGAUGAGCUUCAGCUGAUUCCUGGGCCCGCACACCGACCCCUGGUCCAGGCUGCGCCCAAAUCUUCAGCUCCAGCAUCUUGCCCGCCAGGUAGAGGCAGCAGCAGUAGCAGGGCUGGUCUCUCAUUUUAGUGAAGAAAAAAAACAAAAGUGGAUUAUCCAGUGUGGUAGCCCUAAGUGUCCCCCAAACCUCUCCCUGCCUGGGUACUUCAGUGCUAAGAACUGCACCCACGAAACAAUCGUCCUGCCGAGUUCCUUUCCCCGAUGCCCUGCUUUACUGUGCAAAGUCUCCCAGAAGGUCACACCGCAAACAGACCCAAAGGAAGAGGAGAGGAGAGGAGAGAGGAAUUGGCAGUUGUCUAAGGGGCUAAGAACAAACCAGAAGGCUAGGCCUGGGAGGAGGGAAAGCUGUGAUGACCGGAGGGGGCGGGGCAAGGGCGGCUUGGAUUGGGUGCCCCUUCUCCCCACAGGCCCUGAAGGCAAAGGAGUGGCAUUGAAAAGACUCCCGAGCCCUGGGUGCUGAACGAAUUGGGCCCAAAGCACUGCUCUAAGGUGCUGUGUCUCCAGGGUCUGGGGGGGUGUCUGCUUGCAUAUGUGAAUUCCAGAGGGGAUGGGAGGCUUUUAUUAAAAUUCAGGAUCCUACGGAACACAGAAGGCCACAAGCCAAGGAAAGGAAGUGGUGGAAACAAUUAAGAAAUCUAAGCAGAAACGGUUGCCCGAGAGAGGGCCGCAACUGUUCUUUCGACCACAUCCGAUCUUUGCUUCAAAUUGUUAUGCAGGACAGUAAUUGUCUCCUGGGAGGGCAAGAGGCAAACCGGGCCGGGCUGGCCUCUAAUAGGUUUCAACAGCAAAGCACCCUCAUAAAUAGUGCAUAUUGUGAAACCAGAGUUUUUUUCCUUUUCCAGGAGACCUCUCCCAACCCUCCUCCUUUAAUUAAAGAAACGUGGCUUACCAAGAAACAAAUACCUCUUUUCAUAAGGCAUUAAGUAUGGAUUAAGGAGGAAAAAAGAAAGGAAAGAGGAUUCUACAUGGAAGAAGUGAACUUUCAAUGAGCCAUUGAUGCCGAGGCUGUGACAUACAGAUAAUUCCAUGUCUGUGAUCACCAGCACCACCUGCCGAGUCCCCAGCAUCCCCUGUCUGGCAUGCGACAACAUCGUGCCCCCAGGCCCCUGGCUAGACUGAAGUGCGAAUCAGCUGGACUCAGUCUGGAGCAAACCUCUGCUCUCCUUAGUCUGGUUUCUCACCAGCCCCGAUUUGUUACCUGCACCAGCCACUCCAGUUUUGUUCACACUGUAUUUUCUUGUG
rnacentral:lncRNA from 1 species